GACGAACGCUGGCGGCGUGCUUGACACAUGCAAGUCGAACGGAAAGGCCUGCUUUCCCUUGUGGAUUGCGGGUACUCGAGUGGCGAACGGGUGAGUAACACGUGAGUGAUCUGCCCCCAACUUGGGUAUAAGCCUGGGAAACUGGGUCUAAUUCCCGAUAGGACUGCAGGGUGGUGCCUGUGGUGGAAAACGAUUUUCUAGUGGUUGGGGAUGAGCUCGCGGCCUAUCAGCUUGUUGGUGGGGUAAUGGCCUACCAAGGCGGCGACGGGUAGCCGGCCUGAGAGGGUGGACGGCCACAUUGGGACUGAGAUACGGCCCAGACUCCUACGGGAGGCAGCAGUGGGGAAUAUUGCACAAGGGGCGGAAGCCUGAUGCAGCGACGCCGCGGGGGGGAUGACGGCCUUCGGGUUGUAAACUCCUUUCGACCGCGAGGAAGCCACCUGGUUGGAAGGGUGGUGACGGUAGUGGUAGAAGAAGCACCGGCUAACUACGUG
rnacentral:rRNA from 1 species